ACAGGGCUUCUGUCUGAAGUAACGGGGCUUCUGUCUGAAGUAACGGGGCUUCUGUCUGAAGUAACGGGGCUUCUGUCUGAAGUAACAGGGCUUCUGUCUGAAGUAACAGGGCUUCUGUCUGUAGUAACGGGGCUUCUGUCUGAAGUAACAGGGCUUCUGUCUGAAGUAAUGGGGCUUCUGUCUGAAGUAACAGGGCCUCUGUCUGAAGUAACGGGGCCUCUCUCUGAAGUAACAGGGCUUCUGUCUGAAGUAACAGGGCUUAUGUCUGAAGUAACAGGGCCUCUGUCUGAAGUAACGGGGCUUAUGUCUGAAGUAACAGGUCUUCAGUCUGUAGUAACAGGUCUUCAGUCUGUAGUAACAGGUCUUCAGUCUUUAGUAACAGGGCUUCAGUCUGUAGUAACAGGUCUUCAGUCUUUAGUAACGGGGCUUUAGUGUGUAGUAACAGGUCUUCAGUCUGUAGUAACGGGUCUUCAGUCUGAAGUAACGGGGCUUUAGUCUGUAGUAACAGGUCUUCAGUCUGUAGUAACAGGUCUUCAGUCUGUAGUAACAGGUCUUCAGUCUGUAGUAACAGGUCUUCAGUCUGAAGUAACGGGGCUUUAGUCUGUAGUAACAGGUCUUCAGUCUGUAGUAACUAGUCUGUUCUCCCAAACAGAACAUGUGUUCCUCUGAUCGUCACGUCAGAGCUGAUA
rnacentral:lncRNA from 13 species